rnacentral:lncRNA from 1 species
GCACUUGCAUCGGGCGCUGCUUUGGAUCCGGUUGGAUGCACCACACUCCAAUGCGAAGCAGCUUCUCGGCCUUAGAGGUAGCCUCCAUUUCUUGCCAGACCGAAGCUUCUCAAACCGCCAGGAACUUUGGGCUCCUCCCGCAAGACACACAGGUAUGGAAAGCGCCACUUCCAGCACAAGGAUCCCAAAGCUGUAGAUGUCCAGUUUGUCUCUCACUCUCAUCUGCAACCAUUCCGGAGCCAUGUAUCCGGGUGUUCCUCAGAUCAUUGUCAUGACAUCGCUUAGAUCUCCUUGCUCUACCAUCCUCGACAGUCCAAACUCUGCUAUCUUGACACCAAAGUUUUCGUCCAGGAGUAGGUUUUGCGGCUUGAUGUCCAAGUGCAGGACUCUAGUGCUGCAUUCCUCGUGGAGGUAGCACAUCCCUCGAGCAAUCUCCUCGACUAUCUUGAAUCUCGUGUCCCAGUUGAGCUCUUCCCGCGGCUUGUAGAUCCACUUGUCUAGCGAUCCGUUUGCUACGUACUCGUAAAUCAGGAAGUAGUGUGAUUCCUGGGAAAAAAAGCCUUUGAGUCUUACAAGGUUCUUGUGAUGGAUGAUUCCGAUCGCUCUCACCUCCGCCUUGAACUGUUUGUAUCCUUGGCUCGAGAAGCUCUCCAGCCGUUUCACGGCAACGGAGAGUAUCCCUUCGAAAACCGUGCCAACGCCUCCACUUGCGAUUUUCUCACUGAAGGCUUUGGUUGCAGUGAGGAGCUCCGGGUAAUUAAAGACGCGCAUCAACGAUGGUUUGUAGUGUUUGAGGUACGAGUUUAUCUGUUUCUUCCAGAUCACCAUUGCGAUGAUGAUUAUAGCCAUGGUCGCCACAGAGAAAACCGCGACGAUGGCUGGCUUUGCCUGUUUUUGGUAUUUGGCGACUUUGUGAGUUGCCUGGUGUUGAGAGCUUCGGAAGAUCUCCAGCU